GUUGGACACGACUGAGUGACUGAACUGAACUCUGCAACUAGUUUAAUUCCCAGUGACCUCCAAAUGAUGAAAUUCAAAGGGAACUUUUAGUGUGUAUCUUGCUUGGCUUUUUAGCAGUAGUAAAAUCUAUUGUUUACAGCUUCUUUUUGAAACAUAGUCUUUCCUUGGAUUUUCUGAUCCAUGUGGUUUUUUGACCACCUCCCUGGCCCUUCUUACACCAUUUCUUACAGGUUCAUAUACAUUCACCUAGCGAAUAAAUGUUGAAAUGUCUCUGCCCAAGGACCUCUUUUCUUCUCAGUCUGAUCUCUCUUUCUCGGUGGUCUCAUCCAUAUCUGUAGUUUUAACUAUCACCUGUUUGGAAAAGACUCUGACGCUGGGAUGGACUGGGGGCAGGAGGAGAAGGGGAUGACAGAGGAUGAGAUGGCUGAAUUGCAUCACUGAAUCGAUGGACGUGAGUUUGAGUGGACUCCGGGAAUUGGUGAUGGACAGGGAGGCCUGGCGUGCUGCAAUUCAUGAGGUCGCAGAGAGUCAGACACGACUGAGUGACUGAACUGAACUGAACUGUAUGUACCCAUGGACAUGUCCUCUGAGCUCCUAAGGUGUCUGCCUUCUUGUCAGAGACCUAAGAGUUGACCCAUUGGUCCCAACGUCCUACCAGUUUAUUUCUUAUUACUUCUUAAAGCCAUCCACUCUCAUUCUUCACCCUCAUCACCCAAGUUCAAACCAUAUCAUGUUUGUGGCUUGUAUUUCUUAAAUUCGGGACUACUGUGGUAGCCUCCAAUGUUAUCUACCUUUAUCUGCUUUUAACCCUCACAGUAUACUCUGCUCCCUUCAACAGAUGUUUGCACAAUGCAAACAAAUCAGGUCAGUCCCCUGCUUCAAACCUUGCACUGCUUAGCCUUGUAUUUAGGAUGAAGAGCAAACUCUCUAACCUGGUCUACUCCACUCUGCAUAGUCUAGCCCUCUUACCAACUCUCCAGUUCCAUCUCACACCAUCUGCAUCCCUCACACACACUCCCAGACCUUCAGGCAAUGCCACACACUCAUACAUGCUCACCUCCUUUUUAGUUUCUCUAAAAUGCCAGUCUCCAUCCUACCAUAAGCCUUUGCCAAUGCUAUUCCUUCUGCCUAAACACAGUUGGCAUUCCCUCACUUAGUAAUCUCGUUAACUUUGUCAUUUUCCUCCCCCUGUUCUCAGCUCACAAUAUUACUUCCCCAGGGAUGCCUUCUUCCAAGACCAGCUCUUGCUUUUUUUUCCUCAAGGUCCUUAAAACAGCAUAUACCUCUUCUUCAUAGCCCUUCUUGACUUUUUAAUUUAAUGUGUAUGUCUUCAUGUGUUUUUUUUUGCCUAUCUAUUUCCUUAAAUCAUCUUUAAGCUCCUCAGGACAAGGGUCAUAACAUUAUUUUUGUUCAUCAUUGUAUCUUCAGCACUCAGCCUACUGCUUCAACCACAGUAGGUACAGAGUAAAUAUUUACCAGAUGAUUAGAAGACUUUAUGAGAGGACGAUGAAAUCAAGUAAGGCCACAGAAACGUGAUGGAGAGCACCACCACACCUAGAUGUUCCAACCCCAGCCCAUCAAAUCAGAACCAAGAAAGUUCAUUUGAAAGUCAUGAUUCAGACUUCCAGCAUAAAUUAUAUGCAGUUGUGCAAACAUGUCAAAGUUUAGCAAAUUGAAUUUGUUGAAUGUAAACAACUUUUGACCAAAAUAAUAACACAGCUUUAGAAAAAGACAUUAGGCACCCACUUUUGAAGAGUUUGUAUAAUUUAACACACAAGAAAACUUUACUGUAAUUAUAUGCAGACGUAUACAAAGGAUAAAUGUUAUUUACUUGCUCCAACCUCCAUAAAAUAAACCUCCAACUAGGCUGCAGCUUGCUGCAUUAAUCCUAAUUUAGAAACCACUCCCACUGAGGUGGUGGGGGCUCCGUGGGCCCCUCAUCUUUUCCUUGUGUCAAAAUUAGCCAUUUAAAUUAGAACCACAUUAGGAGCGUUGGUGACGCCAACAUCAUGGCCCCAGUGUGGGGAGCACUUAAAAGUGGCCACCUGAAGUUGAUUAAAUCCUUACCUGUCAAACCCUGUAUGGUUAUGUUGGAAAAUCUUUAAUGUAAUUAAGAGAAGCACAUUAUGGGAGGUCAAGUGACUUGCUUUUUGAAUUCCACUUCUAAUCUGUCAUCAAAUGGAUUGGAAAUUGUCGGCUGGGGGUAGUUAAUGAAAGCUGCAUGAGCAAGCAGGGGAGGAGAGGGAUAGGGGACUGGCAGGCAGGAGAGCCAGAUGGGGGCUCUAUCUCCUGAUAGUCAUGAGGACCGGGUCUGGGGGAGACUACCGAGCACCCUGCCCCCUCAGGAGGCUCUGGGUGGGAGGCUCACUCAGCACCUGUCUCUUAGCACAUCGGGAAGCAGGAUAAGGGGAGGGGCCGUCUGCACAGCUCCUUGCUUAUCAUUAAGUGAGAUCUGGGGCCUGGAUGUCAGCGGCCUGGGCAGAGUGGAGCCGGCGCCGCCCUCGUCACCCUUCACUCAGAGCCGUCUGAUCUUCAUCAGCGUUUAGCUUGCCUUAUGUGCUGAUCCCCCAAAGAAUGGCGGGGUGCUUCCACCCGGGGCCUCCAACUGUCCAGUCUCUGACUCCAGGCUCCUCACAGGUCCACAGCCUUGAGCACAUUGGGUCUGAGGAAGAAAUUCGGCAUUGCCCCGAGUUUCUUCCUGAGCGUGUGGGUUCCUGGCCCACUAAACCCAUCUCUCAGUGUAUUGGGUGUGUUUGGGCUCCAGGGAUCCUGUGCAUCUUAAUGCCAGAAUGCUGCCUUUUAGAGAUGAAAUUACUUAAUGCUUUGCUGUGUGUUUUCACCUGAGGGUGCUGUUGACAGAAGGCAGAGUUUUUCUGCUCUGGUUGCUGUCUCCCUCUUUGUUUUUGUACAUUGCAUCUGUGUACAUUAGCGGAGGUAUCUGUGUUUGAAAAAGGAUUACAUCCGUCAGAAUGUUGCCACUUAAGAUUUGCCCCCUUCCUCGGAGAUUGGCAUGAGAACAAACACCACACUGCAUCUUCACAGGGUAUCGGCAUGGGGAACCUUCCAGACCAGAUAGGCUUCCCCCUUGGCUCUCUUCCUAGCUUGAGUAUGGGCAGAAUGCAUCAGUGUUGAGAGAAGAGAUUUAAUCUUCAAAUUUGGGAAUAUCUUCAAUACUCCAUGGAAAAGAUUGGGUGUCUCCUGUGUGUGGUGGUCCUUAGGAGUUAUUUAGAACAGAAUGGACAAUCCAGGCAAAGAUGAAAUGCACAGCCAAGAUUCAGAAGCAUCUAAAGGUCUAUGCUUGGGGCUGGUGCACUGGGACGAACCAGAGGGAUGGUAUGGGGAGGGAGGAGGGAGGAGGGUUCAGGAUGGGGAACACAUGUAUACCUGUGGCAGAUUCAUUUCGGUAUAUGGCAAAACCAAUACAAUAUUGUAAAGUUAAAAAAUAAAAUAAAAUAAAAUAAUAAGAUUUGCCCAAAGGGUCUUAAGAAAGGUCCAGGGUUUUAAGAAGGGUCCAGGGUCUCCUGUUAUUAGAACUGUGAAGAGGUGGCAGAUACAGUUGAAGGGAAGAGAUGCAGAAGGAUGAGGCAUUUAUUAAGAGGGUGUCUAGAUAAUUCUUCAUUGGGCUUGAAUUUCCUUGGUUUAGAGAAUUUUUAGUCAUUGUCCCAUGUGAAAAAUGGAAGAGUUAAAUGGGAGGGGAGAAGAUGAGACAGAAAAAAAUCAACCUGGAAGUAGUUUCAAAUAAGAGCAGAGCACUGGUGAAAGUCAUUUUCCAAGGGCCCUCCCUCUGCCGUGUUCCUUUUUUUGACCAAUGAAGAGCCCCCUUUCUUAUCUCCUGCUCACCCCCAUUUUUCAUCCACAGCAGAAAGGGCAGUGUUUCUAGAAAGGGAGGUGUGUCUCCAGGUAAAAGCUGUCCCAAGGCAGUGGCAAGAGGAGCUGCGGUGCUCGGCUCCCUCUGGAUACCAUGUUUACCUCCUGGCCACAAGUUCACAGGCUCGGGGAGCAUCAUGGGAAUGGAAACGGGGAAGAAUCACAAAACUGCAGAUGUUUCCCAGGUUCUGGAUGCCGCAAGCACUGCCAGCUUGGAUGUGCAGAAAGCAUAGUGUGACAUGGUGAGUUAUCACUCAUCGUUUAUGUGCUGGGAUGGGACAGGAUGAGGCUGCUGUGGGCCCUGAGAGUAUUAAUGUGAGGUGCCCGCAUGUGUGCCUUGUAAGCCUGUGUGCCUUCAGAUGUACCAGGACAAGGGCUUCAUUCCGCUGUGGGGAUUAAGUACAAAUCAAACAGUUAGAGCUGAUAUUUCAGUUCCCUGCUUUUGAGAGCCAAAGCACACAAACUAUCCUUGAAUAUUCUACUUAGGAAAGAUAAAUAUAGAAGAUGAUAAUGGAUUCAAAUAAUCAUACCUUUUUAGAUCUAAAAUGUAGGAGAUUUUUAAAAUUCAGGUAACCCAGGUUGCAGGUGAGGAAACUGAGUCUUGAAGAAGGUAAGUGACUUGCGCAGUGGCAGUCAGGACUGGAAGCCCAGUUUUUCUAUUCCUAGUUUCAUGUAACAAGGCCUUGAUAAAUCUGUUGAUAAGAAGUUUCAGGCCUUUUUAUUAGAUGCGAGUUUCCAAGCAAGAUUUUGAUCUUCACUUCCCUUAUAUUCCCCGCUGUCCUUUUCCAGAAGCACUUUGACCUCCAGGUCCAAGGUUCAAACCCCGUUUGAAGUGCAGUCUCGUGGAGUCCCCUUGGGGCAGACAGUCUUCCCAGAUGGCAUCUCUGACAGAAGACUGUGCUCGAAUGGCAGCCAUUUUGAUGACAAGGUUCCUGAGGGGGACCAUUUUGACAUGAAAGAGAACCUGGAUUUGUUGAGGUUCACUUGGCAAGUGUAGCUUUUCUCUUUCCAUCUCUGAUGCUCUGUCCGUUACCCACAUUUGAGAGCCAUUCCAGGGCUGUAACUGGGGCUGAUAAAACCCUUCAACCAUUUUCUAGGGGGCUCUUGAGCUGCCAGCAUCCCUCUCUGCUCUACAUGUCUGUCUGAUAACUCUUGCUCUUAGGCUCACACAGCAGUAAUAACUGGGCUAGUGAUGGGCUGGGCAGUAAACAGUUCCUUGCACCUGCUUUGAUCUCCCAUGCAGGAGUUUACAAAUUGUCAAUCUUUGCUUGGAAGAAAAAGACCGCCUUUCAGCAUAGUUUUGUCCAUACAAACUUACCAGGCCAAGAUGCUCUCUAGUGAGCCACAAACUUAGUAGCAAAACCAAGUCCAGUGUUGUGAUCACAAAGGACAGAGAUGGAAGAACAGAAGCUGUAUUGGAUUAUGUUAGCAAGAGAAUAGGUGGGAUGAGACUCAGCCAAGGCAUGUUAAUGCUUCAUUCUCCCCAAAAGUUGUUUACCAUGUGGCAUUUUAUGUGAGUUACCCUUAAAGGGUGAAUGAAGUAUGCUGCUGCUACUGCUGCUAAGUCGCUUCAGUCGUGUCCGACUCUGUGCGACCCCAUAGACGGCAGCCCACCAGGCUCCCCCGUCCCUGGGAUUCUCCAGGCAAGAACACUGGAGUGGCUUGCCAUUUCCUUCUCCAAAACUGUCCCAGGGCAGCAUUGUAGAACAGAUGGCUUGGAGAGCAAACCCUCCUAGAGAGGACUUCUCCUCUGGUCAAGGGAUCAAUUAUGGAUGAAUAAAUUCUUAUUCAUUUUAGAAUUCUGGUGCAUUUUCAUUUCUGCCCCACAUUUAACCCAGGUAAAAUACAGCCUUACCAGACCAAGUAGAGAGUGAACUGGAGUUCCAAGCACAGUCAUUUGAAUUUGGCUCUUGUGGUCUUUCAGGGAAUCAUACAGAGGAUUGAGUCACUUCCCUGGUUAAAGGAAAACAUCUAGUAUCAAAUUCUUCCAUGAACUGGUGGAAAGGUUUGAGAAAACUUUGGCAGACAUGGCAUGAGGAGCCAAGCCCUUGCUGUAGCAUGCAGCAACUGGCAGGAGUUAUAUUAUGAUGUGAUGGUGACGGCGGGGCUGGGGGGCCCAUUAUAUUACAGAGCAAGUCAGUAACCUUGUGGAUCAUGCAGCCAUUGAAUCUUUCUCCUGUUAUGGAACAGGUUGAGUUGCCAAAAAUCAAGCCUCUCCUGACCUGCAUAAAGAACCCACACGUCAAAAUGUUGAGCCAUUCCCAGUGUGCACCGCUUUAUGUUGGAGAACUUAUGGGGGGACCAUGGUGCUGUGGAAGAGACCCAGGCUUUGCUAUUGAUAGACCCCAAAAGUAGUUUAGGGUCUUAACCAUGACUUAGUGGUCAAGUUUAGGAAUCAUGUUAUGAGCAAGGCCAUGAACAAAUGUUUACCAGUGAUUAAGAACUAAAGCUUGUGAAUGAUGUACAUUCAUCUAAAUUAGAGCAGAUUCACAUUGCCUCCUUUCCUUUAUAAUUUCUCAAGCCAGGGAGAAAGGGAUAUCGUUAGUUACUUCAGGGGUGUGGCAUCUCAGCUUAAAUGGCCUCCUGGGAGUGGGCUGGGCUCAAUGAAAUAAUCCUCCACGUCUUUUGGCAGAUAAAUGUUUGAGAUCGAUGUUAUUAGGUUGUACUACACCAAUGAUAUUACCCAACCAGAAAGUGUGACAAAUAGUUUAAUGAAGAACAACAGUUAUUGUGGAUGGUAGAUAUUUCUUUACUUAAAGGCAAAGAUGAGUAAUAUUUGAAAUUCAGGAAAUGGCAGCCUCUCUUCAUUUGAGACCAGCACAAAUAAUAAGAUUCUGCCUUUUCACAGAGGAUGAGAACAAAUGAAAAAUUUAGGAUAUUAUCACCUUGCAGAAUUGAAAAUUCUCCAGCCGGAUCAUCCUGGACUCCCAGUCCCAGGAUGCCAAACUCUCUUAUCUCCUUUUUGAUGGAAAAACGUCACAAUUUCCUUUUCUAGCCUCUUAUUUGUUUUUUGGGAGAUUUUUCUGAAAAUGGUUCCUUUCUAUGUGGGACCAUUUAAAGAAACCAGACCAGAAAAAUCAUGCUAAGUAGCACUUUUUUUCUUGAGUGUUUUUCUUUUUGCAGUUUGGAACUGGAGGCAAAUGAAGGCCUCCCUAGUGCCCUGGUAGCUGCGGCCCCUCUUUUAGCAUUUUUUCAAAGGGCACAGGCCAAUCUGCCCAUAAUGAGCUUGGAAAGUGAGGAUGAAGUUCCUGAUAAUAUGACACAAAUUUCUUUACUUUUGCUCCUUAUUUCAUCUUAAUUAGUCCCUGUAGAAAGGAUUGAUUUUUGAGAGGCUUGUAGUGAACAUCUGUUGGUAUUCCUGGGGUCAUUCUUAGUCUGUCCUGUGUUUGACAUUUCUUGUAAAAGAGGAGGCAUUUGUUCAUAUUGACAUUAGCUGCCUCUGUAUCUCUCGGUGGUACAGAUGGUCUGUGAAUAAAGACAUCAAGCUAAUAGGCAAGAUGACAAGCUUCAAUAGAGCUGGGGCUCCUCACACUUAAAUGGCAGGGCAGCAUGGAUUGCUUCUGCUGCCGAGGCUGGGGUCUGCGGGUAGCAAAGCAUAUGGAAUAAGUUAAAAAUGAAGAAGGAUCCUGGGAAAUGACUAGAAAUCUCUCCCCAAGACUAUAAGGGCUUUUUAUUAUUAUUAUUAUUAUUGGUCCAUGCAGUAUGUCAAGCUUCCAAGGCAUGCAGAGCCAGGAAAAAAAGGCAGAAACUAGAUUUUCUGCUGGUCCUUCUCCCAUACAUUUCUGUCCUGGGAACUGGCCAUGCAGAUCCUAACGAAGGUUUGCACAUCUCAGAAGGGAGCUAUUGUUCUUACUUUUUGGUGAAGUAUGUUGAUGAUCCUGUUUCUAUCAGAGGAAAGCUACUCUCAAAUCAAGAGGCUAAAUUUUUGUUCUCCCCUGAAACCAUAUUUUCCCAGAGGACCUCCAGGAAAUCAGCACUCUGGAACCUUAUAAUUCUGUUUAUUCCAAAGGUUCUGGGCUUUCUCCCAAAUGCAUAUCCUAGUUUAUUAUGAUAGUCCAUCAUGGCUCUGGCAUAUGUAUAUUCAUCUCUGUUUAUUUAAGUCCAUUUAUAUUUUAAUCAUGAACUACUUAUUAGGACAAAGAGGUUUUUUUUGUUGACUCUUGCCAGCAUAAAACACCUUAGGUCUUAAGGGCAGCCUCUUUGCUUGUGUUGGGUGGACAAGACACCCAUUGGUCCAGGUUUCUUUAUCAGCCUCUUUUUCAUCCUUUCAGCUUCUAUCUUCUCAGAUGCUGAAUCCUGAUCUUUUCUUUCUGUUCUCAUUAGCCCCCAUGGACUCGAUUGCAUGAGUAGCUUUUCUUGUCUUCUUUUGGACUGUCUUUAGUUCUGUUACAUGUUCUUUAUUUUCCAUUUGUACACGGGUGGCAUGUCUGCAUGUUUGUGUUGCUUUUUAAUCUUGAUACCCUCCCGUGUUUCACGGAUGCUUUGAGGUAGCUUGUAAGGAUAGAAACUAAAACAAAAGAGAAACAGGACCUUACCAGGGAAAGAGAAAAUAUUAAAAGGGGAAUGAUUGCAGAGGAAAUGAGCUGCUACAGUGCAAAGAUUCAAACAGUACAUGCUGUUUCUAAUAGGCUGGUGUAGAUGAGGAUUAUUUUGUACUCAUGCAUAGCAAAGACUUGAAUCAGGACCUUUAUGUGAAAAGGGAAAUCUUAACUAUGGAACUCGAUAGGUAAAUAAAAAUACAGCUAUUGCUUAUCUGAUUAUUUUUUAUUUUAUACACUGGUUGGAUUGAGAUUUAAAUAUAUGUCCCCCUCUCCUCUUACACAUAGGAUCUCAAUUUGUCAACUCAAGUGAAUGAAUUAUGGUGUUGCUCUCCCAUCUGCUGUAAAGUUGGUCUCUUACGUAAAAAGAAGAGGCAGUACAAAAGAGAAAAGGGGUAGGGAGAGAACAGGGAAGAGUAGAAUGAGAGGAAGGAGAGGAGGGAGACUUCUAAUUAGCUUGGAUAAUGGUAAGAUUAAUGAGGUGCUCCAGUUAAUGAGGCAGUUUGCUGGCAGAGGUGGUAGUUCAGUGUUUCCAGGGCCCCUAUGUGGGCUUGAGGCACCUUUAUGAAAAGCUGAGUCAGAUAUUUAAGGAAGAGGGAAAGUUAGGCUUCCAAAAGCCUGAAGCCAGGAAACCAUCCCCACACAGUUGGCUGGAGUCAGUUUGAUGCAAGUCAGAUGGGGACAUAGCUCUACCUUUGUUUCUCUCUGGGUUGUGUGUUCUGGCCUCAUAAUUCAGCUCUCCUGACCCCUGAAUGGGCUGUCAUGAAGUGAGCAAAACCUUCUUCCCUUUCUUUAUUCCCCCAUGUCCCAUGAGGAGUCUGUGUGAGUGUGUGUGUGUGUGUGUGUGUCUGUGUGUUUCUCUCAGUCAUUGGAAGGGUCCAUCCACCACUAUGGUGAAUUUCUCAAAGAUGGAGACCCUGUCUCUACCAUUAGAUUCUGCUCUCCUCCAAAUGAAAUUUAUAGCUUUCUUUCAGAUUGGGAGCUUCCUAAUGAUGGGAAUCAGUGUCCUUUACAUUAUUUUAAGAGAUUCUCAAAGGGGACAAAGAUCCCUUUCCCUUUUUCUCCUCUGAAUCCCAUCAUAUAUUUUAUCAAGAAUCUUGCAUUUCUUCAAUCCACACAUAUUUACCAGGUACUGUUUUAGGCACUUGGAGAUACAGAGUGAACAGAGUCUGAGUUCCUGCUCAAGGAGUUUACCUUCCGGUGUGGGGAGGUAAGAGAGAUAGGUAAUAAGUUGAUAAAUAGAUGUCAAGCAUGGUAACAUUGGUAAGGGAUUCAGGGAAGUAAUGCUGUUUCAUGAAGGGUAAUCAGAGAUGACCUUUCUGAGAAGGUGCCAUUUGAUGGCCGGAAGGAAGGCAUGCAAUUAUUUUGGCCGAGGGAUGAGAGAUCCAGGCAGAGGGAACAGCAAAUGCAUUUCCCCUCGUCUCUGGAGUAUGUGUGACCAGCAGCGGUGUCUCAGAGACACCCAAUCAUCCUACAUCUCAGAAUCAGAUGCUUCAACAUCUGCUAUGGCAGACUUCCCUGCCUGGGCUGUGUCCAAGCUCAGCAGCCCUUUUAAACUCAUCUUCAGGGGUCUUCAGCAGUCACCUUCAGGGAUCUUGCUCUUUCUGCCUGUUUGUGGUCUUGUUAGAACUCUACAACCAGGUGGUCUGGGCUGAAAUCCUAUCCCUGACACUUAAUACUUGUAUAAUGUUAGUCAAGUUAGUUAAUCUCUUUGGGUUUCCUCAUCUGUAAAAUAGAGAUGAUUUUUGCCCCCAACUCAGAGAUUAAAUGAGUUCAUACAUGAAAAUACUUAGAAUGUAGCCUGCACAGAGUAAAUGCUAUAUGCAAAUAUUAGCUGCCAUUAUUGGUUUUGUUGUUGACUUGUUUCAGCAAAUGAAAAAUCUUUCCUUUAUUUUAAAGAUAACAUUUUCUUCCUCUUAAAGCUGCUCAGCCUCUUGCUUACCUACAGAUGAGGGAUGAAGUUGGAGUGAACCAGAGUUCUCAGGUUUUUCUGCCAGGCCGGCCUCUCUGGUUUCUCCCUUGAACUAUGCUGGGCACAUCCCCUCCCCACUGCUACAAAGCUGAUUCUGCUCUUACAGAUUUUAUUCUUCCUCAUGGUUCAUAGAGACUAGUCUUUUCUCCUCAACCCAGAAUUUCUCCAAGGCAGGGAUGAAGGCUCUAUCUGCCUCUUUCAUGUUCCCUACAUCAUCUUGGAUAGAACUGAAGGUUUUGAACGUUCUGCUGCUGCUGCUGCUGCUAAGUCGCUUCAGUCGUGUCCGACUCUUAGCAACCCUAUGGACUGCAGCCUCCCAGGCUCCUCUGUCCAUGGGAUUUUCCAGGCAAGAGUACUGGAGUGGGGUGCCAUUGCCUUCUCCAUUUGAAUGUUCUACUCAGUGUUUACUGGGGGUUCCAUUCAUGCUGUUUGAAAUGUAGUCCUUCCUUGUUGUUUAGUGCUGAUCAGUGACUCUUCAUUCUCCACACUGUCUGUCUUCUGGUAGAGGCAAAGAACAGAGCUCAGACUUGGGAACCACACUGAGUCUAAAUUCUACUUGCUCUGUGACUUUGGGCAUAAUGAUCUCUAUGUUGUCAAGAGGGCUGAUAACUCAGUACAUGUACAACACUUAGGAAAGUGUCUUUUGAGUGGUUUCUAGGUUUUAGCCAUUGAUACUGUUGUUGUUUAUUGUUACUGUUAUUAAUGUUAUUUCAGCGUGUUUUAUACAUAUAAGAGUUCUAGAAGUCAGGUGGGCUAGAGUAGUCCUGGCUUAUCUGAAGACAUAACCUGGAAGGCAUUCUUUCCAUGGAAGAUGGAUCUGAGGCAGCAUCUGUUGUAUCUAAGAAGCCAACGCUUAUAUGAGAUACAGAAUGCUGGCUGAGAUGAAGGGCAGUGUCACUAGUCUUGCUUCAGGGGCUAGUUUCUUUAGUGUUAUGUCAUUUCCAUGACUGAAAGUUUCUUAAGGAUAUUUUGCCAAGUACCCCAAGCUGUGUACCCCAAGCUCUGUAUCAUGCUGGGAGAUCCAGCAAAUACUUGCAGAAUUAAUUAAUAACUGGUUAGGUGGAUGGUUGGAUGAAUGGAUAUUUGAAUGGUUGAAUGCAGAGAUGGAUGGAUGCAGAGAUGGGUUGAUGGAUGCAGAGACAGGUAUAUGGAUGGAUUGUAGAGUAAAUGAGAGAUGAGCAUUUUCUACAUUAUUAUGAUUCAAACUACCAAAGAUCUGAGUCUGUUAGCUUGUUUCUACCCUCACUCCAUCUUUCUAACCUUCUUUUAAUUCUUGCUUCCCUUUUCCUUUCCUCCUUGCUUUCCUCUCUUCUUAUGCUCUCUCUCCCAUUGUCUCCAGACCCCAUUGUGUCCCUCUUUACUAUUUUCUCUUCUAGCCUCAGUAUCAAGUACCAACAUUCCCCCAAGUCCCUUAAAGGUCAAAAUCUAGAGUGUUCACAGUGUGGUGGCCGAGGUGCUCUCUCCCCUGUGUAUCUAUUUCCCCAGAUGACCCUGCAUCAUUUGCUGAGGUGACAAUACCCCCAGCUUCACCUUGACACUCUGCAUCAUUGUUUUGGGAACCAUCUUUGCCAAGUGAUUAAGGCUGAAUUGAUGCCCCCAGCACACAGGAAUCUUGCACCUUUUCUCAGUCUGUCUCUCUCUAUACUGCUGUUUAAAUGUCACUGCUAUUGAACAAAGAGUGGAGUAAUGGAAAGACAAGCUAAUGCUAUAUUUUGGUAAGUUCUUAUCAAAAUGCCUUUGGUAAGCUAUUUGCCCUUGAUAAAAGAAAAAAAAAAAAAAAAGAAUCCUGGUCUUGCUGGCAAAAC